UCCCGUAUACUUACGGGAGGGGGUCCCUCACUCCUUUUGAGACUUUAAUUUUAUAAAUAUAAAUAUAAAUAUAAUAAGAUGUUAACUCUUUUAUAAAUAAAUAAUAAAUAUAAUUCUAUUUUUAAUAAUAAUAUAUAAUAUUUUUAUAAUAAAAUAUAUAAAUAAUAAUAUUUAUAUAUAUAUAUAUACUUUUUUUUUAUAUAAGAAUAAUAUAUAUAGUCCACAUUGGAGGCGAGUGAAAGGAGAUAAGAAAUAUAAUAUAAUAAUAAAAAUAUAAUGAAUAAUAAUAAUAAAAAUUUAUAUAAUAACAAAAUAGUCCGGCCCGCCCCCCGCGGGGGGGAGGCGGACCCCGAAGGAGUCGGAGUCCGACCGAAGGAGAUGAGAUUAUUAAUAUUAUUAAAUAAUAAAAUGUAUUAAUUAUAAAAUAUAAAACCUAUAAAUAAUUUAUAAUAUAAUUUAUAUUAUGAUAAUAAUAAUAUAUAUAUUAUAAUAUUUUAUAUAUAUAUUUAUUAUAUUUAUAUAAAAAAAGUGAUAUUGAUUAAUUUAAUUAAUUUAUAAUUAAUAAUUAUUAAUAUAGUCCGGCCCGCCCCCCCCGCGGGGCGGACCCCGAAGGAGUCCGGCCGAAGGAGUGAGGGACCCCUCCCUAUU
rnacentral:rRNA from 1 species